UACGUAGGGCGCAAGCGUUUGUCCGGAAUUAUUGGGCGUAAAGAGCUCGUAGGCGGUUUGUCGCGUCUGCUGUGAAAACCUAAGGCUCAACCUUGGGCUUGCAGUGGGUACGGGCAGACUAGAGUGCGGUAGGGGUGACUGGAAUUCCUGGUGUAGCGGUGGAAUGCGCAGAUAUCUGGAGGAAUACCGGUGGCGAAGGCGGCAUCCUGGACCAUAACUGACGCUGAGGCGCGAAAGCUAGGGGAGCAAACGGG
rnacentral:rRNA from 1 species